rnacentral:lncRNA from 1 species
CCCCCAGAUGACUCACCGGAUAUCAGUUGGCCACAUGAGUAUGACAUUUUCUUUUCAGGCCUGUUGUUCCUUGAAUUGAUUUUGAUGAUUACAAAGUAUUUGAGGGGGUUACUAAUAAUUUUGGCUUGAAAAAAGAUUUAUUAUGUUUCAGGGGCAAAAUCAUAAUUUUAUCAAGUUCUGAUUCAGAAGCCUUAAGAGCAAGAGCAGAA